rnacentral:rRNA from 1 species
UAGGGAAUAUUCCACAAUGAGCGAAAGCUUGAUGGAGCGACACAGCGUGCACGAUGAAGGCCCUCGGGUUGUAAAGUGCUGUUGCAAGGGAAGAACACUUAGUUGAGGAAAUGCAACUAAGCUGACGGUACCUUGUUAGAAAGCGAUGGCUAACUAUGUGCCAGCAGCCGCGGUAAUACAUAGGUCGCAAGCGUUAUCCGGAAUUAUUGGGCGUAAAGCGUUCGUAGGCUGUUUAUUAAGUCUGGAGUCAAAUCCCAGGGCUCAACCCUGGCUCGCUUUGGAUACUGGUAAACUAGAGUUGGAUAGAGGUAAGCGGAAUUCCAUGUGAAGCGGUGAAAUGCGUAGAUAUAUGGAAGAACACCAAAGGCGAAGGCAGCUUACUGGGUCUAUACUGACGCUGAGGGACGAAAGCGUGGGGAGCAAACA